rnacentral:lncRNA from 1 species
ACUUCUAAUCCACACAACUCCUACCACGAAGCAUGAAAAUGAAUGGAAUAAAAAAACAAAAACAUAGGUCUCAUGGAGUAGAACAACAACACAUAAAACAAAACUUAAAAACAUGAAUUAAUCAUGGAGAAAAAUGGUGCGAAAGUUAGGGUAAACACAUUGUUUCAAGGAUCUCAGCAAGCUUAAUCAUCAUAUAUUC